CAACCUAACUGAUUCUAUAAUUCUAAGGAAGACCCUAGUAAUUACAGGCCUAUCAGUCUCACUUCAGUUCCUGGUAAAAUUAUGGAGAAGGUU